rnacentral:rRNA from 1 species
GAUGAACGCUGGCGGCGUGCCUAAUACAUGCAAGUCGAGCGAACAGACGAGGAGCUUGCUCCUCUGACGUUAGCGGCGGACGGGUGAGUAACACGUGGAUAACCUACCUAUAAGACUGGGAUAACUUCGGGAAACCGGAGCUAAUACCGGAUAACAUGUUGAACCGCAUGGUUCAACAGUGAAAGACGGUCCUGCUGUCACUUAUAGAUGGAUCCGCGCCGCAUUAGCUAGUUGGUAAGGUAACGGCUUACCAAGGCAACGAUGCGUAGCCGACCUGAGAGGGUGAUCGGCCACACUGGAACUGAGACACGGUCCAGACUCCUACGGGAGGCAGCAGUAGGGAAUCUUCCGCAAUGGGCGAAAGCCUGACGGAGCAACGCCGCGUGAGUGAUGAAGGUCUUCGGAUCGUAAAACUCUGUUAUUAGGGAAGAACAAAUGUGUAAGUAACUAUGCACGUCUUGACGGUACCUAAUCAGAAAGCCACGGCUAACUACGUG